rnacentral:rRNA from 1 species
UGGGGAAUCUUGGUCAAUGGGCGCAAGCCUGAACCAGCGAUGCCGCGUGAGUGAUGAAGGCCUUCGGGUUGUAAAGCUCUGUGGGGCGGGACGAAAGCCUCAGUUUUAAUAGAACUGAGUUUGACGGUACCGCCUUAGCAAGCACCGGCUAACUCUGUGCCAGCAGCCGCGGUAAGACAGAGGGUGCAAACGUUGCUCGGAAUCACUGGGCGUAAAGGGCGUGUAGGCGGGAAGGAAAGUCAGAUGUGAAAGCCCUGGGCUCAACCCAGGAACUGCAUUUGAAACUCCCUUUCUUGAGUGUCGGAGAGGAAAGCGGAAUUCCUGGUGUAGAGGUGAAAUUCGUAGAUAUCAGGAGGAACACCGGUGGCGAAGGCGGCUUUCUGGACGACAACUGACGCUGAGACGCGAAAGCGUGGGGAGCAAA